rnacentral:rRNA from 1 species
UCGAACGAGAAAGCGGGGGCAACCUCGUGAGUAAAGUGGCGUACGGGUGAGUAACACGUGGGUAAUCUACCCUUUAGUGGGGAAUAACGCUGGGAAACCGGCGCUAAUACCGCAUAAUCCCGAGAGGGGAAAGCAGCAAUGCGCUGAAGGAGGAGCCCGCGGCCGAUUAGUUUGUUGGUAGGGUAACGGCCUACCAAGACGAAGAUCGGUAGCCGGCCUGAGAGGGCACACGGCCACACUGGCACUGAAACACGGGCCAGACUCCUACGGGAGGCAGCAGUGGGGAAUCUUGCACAAUGGGGGAAACCCUGAUGCAGCGACGCCGCGUGAGCGAUGAAGCCCUUCGGGGUGUAAAGCUCUUUCGGCAGGGAAGAAUCAUGACGGUACCUGCAGAAGCAGCUGCGGCUAACUACGUGCCAGCAGCCGCGGUAAUACGUAGGCAGCGAGCGUUGUUCGGAGUUACUGGGCGUAAAGGGUGCGUAGGCGGUUCUUUAAGUUUGGUGUGAAAUCUCCCGGCUCAACUGGGAGGGUGCGCCGGAUACUGAAGGACUAGAGUGCGGGAGGGGAGAGUGGAAUUCCUGGUGUAGCGGUGAAAUGCGUAGAUAUCAGGAGGAACACCUGUGGUGCAAACGGCUCUCUGGACCGUAACUGACGCUGAGGCACGAAAGCGUGGGGAGCAAACAGGAUUAGAUACCCUGGUAGUCCACGCCCUAAACGAUGCACGUUUGGUGUGGGUGAUUCAGUUCAUCCGUGC